rnacentral:lncRNA from 1 species
GGUUACCAAGGUUACCGCCGAGAGGCCGCGUCCUCAGCUGGUCCUAGACAUGCGUGGCGUCGGGGCUGUGGCACGGUCGGGUCCGGGGACACUUGUUUAACAAGACAUCUGCCCAUGUCCCUGGCCCAUCUCAUUGGCUGCAGCACAUCACAGUGGACCUUCUGCCUCCUCCCAGAUGCCCAGGGACAGUGAUCUGGAAGGAAGGGGCUUGAGGCUGUUUUCCUAGAACUCGACUUGAAUGCACCAAGGAAAGGCCAUUUGUGGGGACAUAGCAAGAAGGCAGCUGUCUGCAAGCCAGGAGGAGAACCCUCACCAGAAACCUCACAGAAAUCGGCCAACACCCUCAUCUCGGGCUUCCAGCUUCAGAACAACGAGAAAACAAAUUUCUGUUGUGUCCUGGUUCCCAUUUGUAAUUGGCACCCUAAUGAAACCGUUUUCUGUAGCCCUGGAAAUGGCUGAAAAUGAGGGGAGGGAAAUAAAGUGCUAUAAUUCAGAGCAUGGAGCACACCUUCCUGGUUCACCUGAGCUGGAUUCGGAGAGGUAAAAUGGCCAUUACCUCGUCUAAGCUGCCACUUACAGACACAGUACAGGAUGAGGCCCAGACCCACAGAGACAACGAUGAUGGCCACAGCUAAGAUGAUCCAGAAAUUAUUCCUCCACCAGCUCAUUGCAGUGGAAUCCUGAGAAGAAUGGAGAGAGAAGAAUGAGGUAUGAAUGAAAGAUAUCCUGGGGUUGGGUGGAGUGGGGCAGUUAUCUACUGUGGGUUGUUUUUUUUUUCUUUUCUGAGUCGGAGUCUCACUCUGUCGCCCAGGCUGGAGUGCAAUGACGUG